rnacentral:rRNA from 1 species
AUCGAACGCUGGCGGCAGGCCUAACACAUGCAAGUCGAACGGUAGCACAGAGAGCUUGCUCUCGGGUGACGAGUGGCGGACGGGUGAGUAAUGUCUGGGAAACUGCCCGGUGGAGGGGGAUAACUACUGGAAACGGUAGCUAAUACCGCAUAACGUCGCAAGACCAAAGUGGGGGACCUUCGGGCCUCACACCAUCGGAUGUGCCCAGAUGGGAUUAGCUAGUAGGUGGGGUAAUGGCUCACCUAGGCGACGAUCCCUAGCUGGUCUGAGAGGAUGACCAGCCACACUGGAACUGAGACACGGUCCAGACUCCUACGGGAGGCAGCAGUGGGGAAUAUUGCACAAUGGGCGCAAGCCUGAUGCAGCCAUGCCGCGUGUAUGAAGAAGGCCUUCGGGUUGUAAAGUACUUUCAGCGGGGAGGAAGGCGGUGAAGUUAAUAACUUCACCGAUUGACGUUACCCGCAGAAGAAGCACCGGCUAACUCCGUGCCAGCAGCCGCGGUAA